rnacentral:rRNA from 1 species
GACGAACGCUGGCGGCGUGCUUAACACAUGCAAGUCGAACGGAAAGGCCCUGCUUUUGUGGGGUGCUCGAGUGGCGAACGGGUGAGUAACACGUGAGUAACCUGCCCUUGACUUUGUGAUAACUUCAGGAAACUGGGGCUAAUACCGGAUAGGAGCUCCUGCUGCAUGGUGGGGGUUGGAAAGUUUCGGCGGUUGGGGAUGGACUCGCGGCUUAUCAGCUUGUUGGUGGGGUAGUGGCUUACCAAGGCUUUGACGGGUAGCCGGCCUGAGAGGGUGACCGGCCACCAUGGGACUGAGAUACGGCGCAGACGCCUACGGGAGGCAGCAGGGGGGAAUAUGGCACAAUGGGCGGAAGCCUGAUGCAGCAACGCCGCGUGCGGGAUGACGGCCUUCGGGUUGUAAACCGCUUUCGCCUGUGACGAAGCGUGAGUGACGGUAAUGGGUAAAGAAGCACCGGCUAACUACGUG